rnacentral:rRNA from 1 species
CCUUCAUGAAGCUGGAAUUGCUAGUAAUGGCAGGUCAGCAUACUGCCGUGAAUACGUUCCCGGGCCUUGUACACACCGCCCGUCACACCAUGAGAGUUGGGAAUACCCGAAGCCUGUGAGCUAACAUAUGAGGCAGCAGUCGAAGGUAGAAUCAAUGAUUGGGGUGAAGUCGUAACAAGGUAUC